CAAUUUCGUUCGAUAAUUCGAAUGAUUUUGUGAACUGAUAUUCAUGCGAUUACGAAAGAAACGCGCUUCUCUCUUGGAAUCGUCAGUGUUAUCAUCGGGUUAUCGGACUAUGACCGUCAAUGUUUAAGCGGGGUUACACACCGUACACAGUUGUUAGUCGCCCGGUAUUAGUUGAGAAGGAUGCGCACAUUUUAUACGAUUCUCAUGCUCGUGAUCCUCUCUGCGAGCCUCGGUGAAUGUUGGUCCUUCUCAAACGUCGCGACGUCCAUCGACAAAUUGAUACGACCGCGAAACACCUCGCAGGUUUUAAAUGUUAACGGAAAUGGCAGCGCUGCGUCAACAGUAUCCCCGGAGGUCACGGUACAAGGAAGAAUAAUAUUCAUACCACGAAGGAAUACAGUUUACUGUCAACCGGGUCAGCAAGUCGAUCGGCGUGGCAAAUGUAGACAAGUGUGGUGAAGCUCGUUUUGAUAAAUACGCAAGAUUCUUUAUAAUCAGUUGGACCACUCCUGUUUAUGAAAGAAAACAUCCCUGGGAAACAGGAGGAUUGACAGGAUUAAAAAAAACAAGAAUAUUAUUCUAAUAAAUAUCUAAUAGGCAUCUCUAUAGGUCUAUGAGAAUUGUAGAAAAUUAGAUGUAUUUAAUUAAUGAUUUAUGUAAGAUCUGUAGUUCAUCGAAUCGAAUUGGCAAUCGCAAAUCUCAUUCGAAAUGCAAUUAAGAUGUACAGACUACAAACUAAAUUAUAUUUUGUCAAGUAUAUUUAUUCUUACACAAGAAAUAGAUUAUGAUUUUAUAUUA